rnacentral:pre_miRNA from 15 species
GAUGCUUUGCUAGAGCUGGUAAAAUGGAACCAGAUCGGCCGUAUGAUGGAUUUGGUCCCCUUCAACCAGCUGUAGCUGCGCAUUGAG